CAAACCAUGUGAUGAUUUUGAUAUCGCCCCAGUCAGAACUGCGUUGUUGAUUGAUAAAGCUGAUAUUUA